rnacentral:rRNA from 1 species
AGUGAACGCUGGCGGUAGGCCUAACACAUGCAAGUCGAACGGCAGCACAGUAAGAGCUUGCUCUUACGGGUGGCGAGUGGCGGACGGGUGAGGAAUACAUCGGAAUCUACUUUUUCGUGGGGGAUAACGUAGGGAAACUUACGCUAAUACCGCAUACGACCUACGGGUGAAAGCAGGGGAUCUUCGGACCUUGCGCGAUUGAAUGAGCCGAUGUCGGAUUAGCUAGUUGGCGGGGUAAAGGCCCACCAAGGCGACGAUCCGUAGCUGGUCUGAGAGGAUGAUCAGCCCAACUUGAACUGAGACACCGUCCAGACUCCUACGGGAGGCAGCAGUGGGGAAUAUUGGACAAUGGGCGCAAGCCUGAUCCAGCCAAACCGCGUGGGUGAAGAAGGCCUUCGGGUUGUAAAGCCCUUUUGUUGGGAAAGAAAAGCAGCAGGUUAAUACCCCGCUGUUCUGACGGUACCCAAAGAAUAAGCACCGGCUAACUUCGUG